rnacentral:rRNA from 1 species
UACGUAGGGUGCGAGCGUUGUCCGGAAUUACUGGGCGUAAAGAGCUCGUAGGUGGUUUGUCGCGUUGUUCGUGAAAACUCACAGCUCAACUGUGGGCGUGCGGGCGAUACGGGCAGACUGGAGUACUGCAGGGGAGAAUGGAAUUCCCGGUGUAGCGGUGAAAUGCGCAGAUAUCGGGAAGAACACCCGUGGCGAAGGCGGUUCUCUGGGACGGUACUGACGCUGAGACGCGAAAGCGUGGGGAGCGAACAGG